GCGGCAUGGCGGCUCUUGCGUCUGAUUCGGCACAUGUCUGUAAGGACUGCGUCUCUCUCCUGCCGCCACGAUUCGGCAUGCGUCAUAAGAUGUAACAGGGUCUCGUUAUCCAGUUCACUCGCAGACGACAUUCCAUACGACAACUGAAUCGUCUGCAAUUCCACGAAAAACAACAUGGGAGGCAAUAUUGCAUUUGUUUUUCUUGUUUUGAUGAAGAUAAUAGCGGUAUAUUGUCAAACGAAUUCCACGGACGGAAACUCGACGAACGCGAGCGGUAAUGAGAUUAGUGACGAGGGUCGCGCCACGACGAUUGUUCUUCCAGGAAUCCUUGUCCUAACAGCCGUACUCGUUAGCCGAUUGCUGAACUAAUGUAUGCUUCCAUUGCUUUCAAGAUGUCUCCCAUUCUGGCGUGCUCACCGUCUGUUUUAUGUGGACUCCGCCUUCAGCCACCAUCUGAAUGAACUCAUGUUGUCACUGCUCAUACCCAGCUCGUGUAGAUAUUUCUGUUGUCAUUCGUGUUUCAUUGGUGUGUCUGCUGCUUCGUUCACUGGUUGCUAGGAUCUCUGUAAGGCAAGGGGAGUGGGGGUAUUUUGCCUCAGAUCACGUCAGGCCUGUAGGAACCGGGGGCGGGAGCUAUGCCUCCCACCCUACUAGAGGCCCAAAUGUACGUUUGCUCUGUCCUACUCUAAAUAAAUAAAGAUAAAAAUAUGGCUUGUUUCCCCAACUCUAGAUAUCGUUCCUACAGGCUUGCAUGUAUAAUGUGAGAAAGACUGUCAGUGUCAUUGUUUACAAUAAGAAGCUUUUUAUGGAGUUAAAUAUAAACUACGUAAUAAACAAGCGUACAUUAUGUA